UGUAGGGUUGAUUGAAAUUUUGGAUGAGUGGAAAGGGCAUUAUGGUCUUUUUAUGUUAAAGGAUAAUUAUCUCCCUUUUUAAGGGAUAAGCACGUGGAAAGUGGAAAGUGGAAAGUGGAAAGUGGAAAGUGAAAAAAUUGAAACCUUUUCUUGCUCUCUUCUUCUUCUUGUCGUAAACUCCGUUAGCAAAGGACCAAGCAAUUGCUAUUGUCACGGAAUUAUGUGAAAGUAACAGAUUGAAGCAGACACAUUCCGAGGUCCAGCAAGUGUGUCUCCUACUGCUUCAAACAAUGGAGAUGGCCUUGUACUUGGAACUCUGUGUCUUGCAGAUUUGUGGAACAAAACCUAUGCUAGGACGAGUGGAGGACGUUUCAAAGGAAGUCAAACUAUUGACGAAAGCUACGGAGGGGCAUGCUUUCCUCAAAGGAUCAAUGAAGACCCUGAAUCAGAUAAUAUCACUCGUCUAUCCUGGAUUGCUAUAACCAAGAUGUGUACAGCUGACAUUCCCAAUGAUGUAGUGGAUCUUUGUAGGCUUUCAGAAUGAGAAUCUGUGAGCUCUGUAGAUAUUCCCGAAUGUUGCGGUGAUGAUGAUGAUAUGCAAGUCUUUAUAUGCUUAGUAUUCUGUUUUUUAUACAUACACUCUUAUGUGAUGUCUUUUUCUCACGGCCAUUCUUUCUUGAUUUCUGACUCCGUGGUGAUGAUAAAGAUGCUCCCCCAGUCAUCUUCAAUUGUUGUGAUUUUAAUUAUACUUUGAUUUUUGUAGUUGAGGUCGACUGCACCCUGCCUCAAAGCGUAUAAAAUUAGAGGUGUCUAUAAAACGGUGUGCAUCGGGUGGAUGCUUAUCCUGAGUAGGAUAUGGAUUUAUCAGAUUCGCCCUUCAACAAAAAUCUGGCCAUGGGGUCUUCUUCUUUUAGCUGGUGCUAAUUGAAUGUGAUUUUCCGCUUACAUUAUGAAUUUGUAAUGCUGAGAACUGU